CUUCAGCGAGCCGAGCAACAGGGGACGUUCCCGGUCCUGGCCGUACGUGGCGAUCAGCGCCUGCGCCUC
rnacentral:antisense_RNA from 1 species